GACGAACGCUGGCGGCGUGCUUAACACAUGCAAGUCGAACGGAAAGGCCCUGCUUUUGUGGGGUGCCCGAGUGGCGAACGGGUGAGUAACACGUGAGUAACCUGCCCUUGACUUUGGGAAAACUUCAAGUAACUGGGGCUAAUACCGGAUAGGAGCUCCUGCUGCAUGGUGGGGGUUGGAAAGUUUCGGCGGUUGGGGAUGGACUGGCGGCUUAUCAGCUUGUCGGUGGGGUAGUGGCUUACCAAGGCUUUGACGGGUAGCCGGCCCGAGAGGGUGACCGGACAAACUGGGACUGGGAUAAGGCCCAGACUACUACGGGAGGCAGCAGUGGGGAAGAUUGCACAGUGGGCGGAAGCCAGAUGCAGCAACGCAGCGUGGGGGAUGACGGCAUUGGGGUUGUAAACCGCUUUCGCCUGUGCCGAAGCGUGAGUGACGGUAAUGGGUAAAGAAGCACCGGCUAACUACGUG
rnacentral:rRNA from 1 species